GUAAUGUCAGGUGUACUCCAAAAACAUAUUAAUGAGCACAAUGACAAAGCUAGUUUGGGUAAUCCAAUAAAAAGGACCUGGUGUGAAUUGGCAUUUUUUACUGGUGAUUUUUCCUGAAUGAAAAAGAUUCUCCAGGUGCUCCUGACCCUUCACCACCACGGUCAGCGCCUGAACCCUCCCAGGUCCCACCAAAUUCAACCAGAUGGGAUCUUCCUUGCAAAAGAUCCUGCUUUGUGUGACUAAUCAGCAGCAGGGACUUAGAGAAGGAGCAGCUUAAAAACUACUCCUAGGAUUUCUGUUUUCAUUUGGUUGGUGGGUUUUUUUUCUUUUUUUUCUUUUAGGAACCACAAACAAGUUAAGCUGCUUCUGUCCGCAUAUGAUGCUUGACUAACCUUGACGGUGACAGAGAUGGCCAGGCGAUGGUCACCUGCAGCGCAGCUGGGCAAUAGGCAGCCUCCAAGGCGCUCUUCUCUCCAAAGGUUUUUCAGGGGAGCUGGAUACACCAAGCAGGCAAAGGAACAGCUUUCCCAAGCUGGAAGAUCCCUCCUUCCCUUCCUGCGGGCGUGUGGGAAAAGGGUCAGGCCCAGCUGCUGCAGCCAGCCUGCAGUGAGAGAGGUCGCGGACACGGUGAUGCAAGCUAUCGGCGUCGCGCCAUCUCCCAGCCUGUGCAUUCAGCCUUCCCUCCUUCCACCAGCCGCUGCCGGGAGGAAAGGGUUAAGAAGCAACAAGACUGAGGAACGAGACCAGGGAAUUCAGCUGCUGACGCAGAGCUGGCUUGCUUCACUGUAUUUCCUCCACGUCUGCUGGAGCCCAGCUCACUGAACGCGUCUCUCAGCUUUGGUCCUCAACUCGUAUUACAGAAGUUCCUAAACCAGCUUGAUUCAACUGAAACUUUUGCACUGAGAUCACCACCACGAUAUCCGUCACUCUGAUGCUUAAUGAGCCUCGAGUUUGCUGCUCCUUCCUCCCCUCUGCCUCCAUUCCUGCCCUGUUUCUCCCACUAGCCAGCCCCAGAGCCCGUGUUCCCCGAGAUGGAUUAGCAGUGUGUCUUCAGCCUACGUUUCAUUUUCCUGUUUUCUGCUGAUGUUGCCAGUCUCUCCUGGUCUCUAUUAUUCCUGAGUCUCGGGGUUUGCAACACCUCCUGAUUUAGUGUCAGCUGCAAACGCCUUCCGUGUGCCGUGUACCGCCACUCCCACUCCAUUAAGGAAGAUGUUAAAUAAGACCAAGCCUGGCUUCAUGAGUCCUGUAAAACGUACCUGAGAUUAAAUCAGCGGGUUUGUUUUGAAAUGCCAU
rnacentral:lncRNA from 1 species